AUUUGACUUUUAUAAUUUGAUGUUUUUUAAUUUCUUUUCAUAUUUUAAAUCCUCUAAAUAAAAAUUCUGGUUCUCCACUGUCAAUACAAUUUCACUAUUAUAUAAGUAGAUCUAGAUGCUAAGUAAAUGAUUUUGAGAGUUUAAAUUAUGUGGAUUGGUAUCGUUAAAAUUAUAUGACUUUAUAAGGAAAGUUUUUUUUUUUUUUAUGUAUUUGUUGUGUCUACUAGUAUGGGAAAAUUGAAUUUGGCCCUACUCAAUUAAGGUGAAAAGGAGUGAUAAUUAAAAGGUAAUUGCUAUUUCAAAGUUAAAAUAUUGGUUAAUAGCUUAAAACAAACGGUAAGUAACCCAUUAUAACAAGUUAAUAGUGCAAGAAACUUGUUAUACUAUUGAUGAAUAUAACUUAAAUAUGUUUUAUUUUUAUAAUAAGAUUUAUGAGUUUAUGUAACUUAAACUCGCAAUCUAAAUUAUUUUUGCAUUAUCAGGUAACAUUAACUAAACAUUUUUUUUUGGUAUCGCAGUAAUAUAUUAUAUAACUUUUAGAUUAAAAGAUUUUAUAGUAUGGAAACAUUGGAUUUGCCCCUACCCUAACGUGAAAACAGUGGCGGAUCUAGGAUUUUAAGGUUGUGGGUGCUCUAAGUGAAACUAUAAAAAAUAUGUGUUAACAAUGAGAUCCGAACCUUGGUACAACAACAUUAAAAAAGUCUUAAGUACCCAUCCUAGAACCAUUGGGCCAACUAUAUGAUUUAUUCAUUAGGUGCUCUAUGUUAAUUUUAUACAAAUACCUAUCAAUUUCUACAGAGAUAUAUAUAUUUCGUAACGAAAUUACUGAGUGCUCGAGCACCCGGCGGACACUAUGUCGUGAAAAGAAAGGAUGAUCAAGAUUUCAAGCAAGACCUAAUUUUGAUGGUUAGAAAGCUAAGUGAUAAAAAAGGCUAUAAAAAUUAAUAGGGUUAAAUAGCUAGAUGGGGGUCCAUGACAACAAGUGAAGAAGACAUGCCACCACCAAUUGCAAUAUUGGGACUCCAUGUAUCCUCAAGAAAACUAGCCUAUCAUAUUGUCAACUAUCUUAGCUUUAUCGCGAAAACUUUUACGUGAUAUAUAUAGUUGUCCAUCAAAAUAAUAAUCAAUUGAUAAAUAAUUUUUUUUUAAUCUUUCGUAAGUAUAAUUGAUUUUAGUUAAGCGCGAUCACAUAUGUGUUAAAAGCUAAGUUAUAUCUUUUUCUUUUAUCUGAUGUUCGAUAUUCAUAUCAAUUCGAUUAAAAGCUUUUUUGGUGUGUGGUUUUGGAGUUUGGGAGUAUGGGUAAAUGGUCCUACAACACUAAAGUUUAGCCCAACAUAUCACAUGUUCCAAGUAGGUGGCCGUUAGAUCCUCCCAAUUAAACCCCUUUCGUGUACAUUUCUACUACUAUCUACAAUUCAUAAUUUAUCCCUUUAAAACAUUUGUCAACAACUUGCCAUUACCUUAUGUGUUUGUCCUCAUUCAUCCCACUUUAAAUUUCUACUUCAAAUUGUCUUCUACUCCACUCUCACCAUACACAUGCAAACAUCAAAUGUAUUAAAGUACAUAUAUGUGAUUCUAUCAUUAUCAAUAUAUAACAAUUCAGAGUUUCAAUUCAAUUAUUAUAAAGUUGUUACUGUAUAUAUCAAUUGUGUGGAAAGAAAUUGCAAACUUAUGUUCUUGAUUUGAUGAAAUACUUGCGGCUCAACACUUAGAGGUGAAGACUUUAAAGACUCACGAAGAGCAAUGAUUCUCUAUGUAUUUGUGUGUGUCUUCUUCUUUUUCUUCCUUCUUCUUUUGGUCUCAUGAGGACCCCUUUAUAUAAGUGUAAGCUAGGGUUUUGAGGUAUCUUGGUCUACAAGUAAUUUCAGGGGGCUUGGGCUUGAAGAACUUGAUUUGGAUUCGUCUUGCCAACUUAAUGGAUUGAUUCAAAUAUAAUUUGGACUUUAUUUAA